rnacentral:tRNA from 1 species
GCCGGGGUAGCUCAGCUGGUAGAGCAACGCAUUCGUAAUGCGUGGGUCGUGAGUUCGAAUCUCAUCUUCGGCUCCA